rnacentral:misc_RNA from 1 species
GAUGAAGAACGUAGCGAAAUGCGAUACUUGGUGUGAAUUGCAGAAUCCCGUGAACCAUCGAGUCUUUGAACGCAAGUUGCGCCCGAAGCCAUUAGGCCGAGGGCACGCCUGCCUGGGCGUCACACGUCGUUGCCCCCCCAUCUACUCCUUCGGGAUUGCGGGGGGCGGAUGAUGGCCUCCCGUGCGCCUCGUCGCGCGGUUGGCAUAAAUGCCAAGUCCUCGGCGACGCACGCCACGACAAUCGGUGGUUGCGAAACCUCGGUUGCCCGUCGUGUGCGGUCGUCGCGCAUCGAGGGCUCGAAAAAAUUGUCGGGCUCCGGCUCGGCUUUCAACGCGACCCCAAGUCAGGCGGGGUUACCCGCUGAAUUUAAGCAUAUCAAUAAGCGGAGGA